CCUACGGGAGGCAGCAGUGGGGAAUAUUGGACAAUGGGGGAAACUCUGAUCCAGCAACGCCGCGUGAGUGAAGAAGGAUUUCGGUAUGUAAAGCUCUAUAAGCGGGGACGAAAAAAAUGACGGUACCCAAGGAAGAAGCCCCGGCUAACUACGUGCCAGCAGCCGCGGUAAUACGUAGGGGGCAAGCGUUGUUCGGAAUGACUGGGCGUAAAGGGUGUGUAGGCGGGGUAGCAAGUUAGGAGGGAAAUACCUAGGGCUUAACCCAGGGGCUGCUUCUAAAACUGCGUGACUUGAGUGCAGGAGAGGAAAGUGGAAUUCCUAGUGUAGCGGUGGAAUGCGUAGAUAUUAGGAGGAACAUCAGUGGCGAAGGCGACUUUCUGGACUGUAACUGACGCUGAGGCUCGAAAGCGUGGGGAGCAAACAGGAUUAGAUACCCUGGUAGUC
rnacentral:rRNA from 1 species